AAUUUGCAGAGGAUGCUUUUGGCGCGGUGCCUUCCGAGUUCCCUGGAACGGGACGCCAUAGAGGGUGAGAGCCCCGUCUGGUCGGACACCAAGCCAGUGUAAAGCUCCUUCGACGAGUCGAGUAGUUUGGGAAUGCUGCUCUAAAUGGGAGGUAUAUGUCUUCUAAAGCUAAAUACCGGCCAGAGACCGAUAGCGCACAAGUAGAGUGAUCGAAAGAUGAAAAGCACUUUGAAAAGAGGGUUAAACAGUACGUGAAAUUGUUGAAAGGGAAGCGUUUAUGACCAGACUUGGGCCCGGUGAAUCAUCCAGCGUUCUCGCUGGUGCACUUUGCCGGGCUCAGGCCAGCAUCAGUUCGCCGCGGGGGAUAAAGGCUUCGGGAACGUGGCUCCCUCGGGAGUGUUAUAGCCCGUUGCGUAAUACCCUGUGGCGGACUGAGGUUCGCGCUCCGCAAGGAUGCUGGCGUAAUGGUCAUCAGCGACCCGUCUUGAA
rnacentral:rRNA from 1 species